rnacentral:rRNA from 1 species
AACGAACGCUGGCGGCAGGCUUAACACAUGCAAGUCGAGCGCCCCGCAAGGGGAGCGGCAGACGGGUGAGUAACGCGUGGGAAUCUACCCAUCUCUACGGAAUAACGCCUGGAAACGUGUGCUAAUACCGUAUACGUCCUUCGGGAGAAAGAUUUAUCGGAGAUGGAUGAGCCCGCGUUGGAUUAGCUAGUUGGUGGGGUAAAGGCCUACCAAGGCGACGAUCCAUAGCUGGUCUGAGAGGAUGAUCAGCCACACUGGGACUGAGACACGGCCCAGACUCCUACGGGAGGCAGCAGUGGGGAAUAUUGGACAAUGGGCGCAAGCCUGAUCCAGCCAUGCCGCGUGAGUGAUGAAGGCCCUAGGGUUGUAAAGCUCUUUCACCGGUGAAGAUAAUGACGGUAACCGGAGAAGAAGCCCCGGCUAACCUCGUGCCAGCCGCCGCGGUAAUAC